GAUGGGGAGAAGACAUUGUGUCUUCGAGUCGUUGAUUUCACACUGCCGAGAAAAGCCUCUAGAUAGAAAAUAGGUGCCCGUACCGCAAACCGACACAGGUAGUCAAGAUGAGAAUUCUAAGGUGAGCGAGCGAACUCUCGUUAAGGAACUCGGCAAAAUGACCCCGUAACUUCGGGAGAAGGGGUGCUCUUUAGGGUUAACGCCCAGAAGAGCCGCAGUGAAUAGGCCCAAGCGACUGUUUAUCAAAAACACAGGUCUCUGCUAAACCGU
rnacentral:rRNA from 1 species